rnacentral:snRNA from 1 species
GUGCUCACUUCAGCAGCACAUAUACUAAAGUUGGAAUGAUACAGAGAAUAUCAGCAUGGCCCCUAUGCAAGAAU